GAAUGUGCUGUCUGUUGGCGACUAGAGAAUAAUUUACAGGCAUUGAUAAAAGCUGCUGAGUGAGAGAUCAAUGAGAAUAAAGUCUAAAUGUGUAGUCAAAGUCUUUCAUCGCUCUAGUCUCUCUUUGUCCCAGUGUGAACAGAACUAUGGGAAUGUGUAAAACUUUACUUAUGGGCCUUAAAAAUAAUUAUAGCAGGAAAUGAAUGGAUGCUACACUUUCAAAACUCACAAUCUUAGACUUUGUCUGCCACUGAAUUUUCAGCAUGCUGCCUGAGCCUCACAUAAUUCUGCAACCCUUGAUUAGGACAAGACAGUGUGGGUGGCAGUGUGGUCAUCAUUUAUAGACACAAGCAAGACUGUGUAGAGGGACGCCACCACCCUUAGAUCUCCGCCUGCUUCCAUGAAGCACCCUGACCUGUUUCCACAUCCAUCUGUUUCUGCAUCUGUGUCUGCAUUCACAUUAAUGUGGCUGAUUCACCCCAGGAUUGCUCAUCGCUGUGACUCCAGCACAAAAAAUUUUACUUAAAUGUGUUAUUGCUCUAGGUUUUACACAAAAGCACCGUUCAAAUCCACCCACGUACAGACACACUGCUGCUUCAGUGUCUGCAGAGUUAAAUAUGCAUCUCUCUAGACAAAAUGUCACACAUAAACAUGCUCUAAUAUACAAAACAGCAGGUUUCUAUUCAACACUAUAGUUAAAAGACUAAACCGUACAGUCUUCUGCAAUAAACCUAAAGAGCUUCAAGAGCCACAGCCCUUCUCGAAUGUGGUCAGCAGCGGCGAUCUAUACAUGUGAAGAAA